CUACGGGGUGCAGCAGUGGGGAAUAUUGCACAAUGGGGGGAACCCUGAUGCAGCAACGCCGCGUGGAGGAUGACGCAUUUCGGUGUGUAAACUCCUUUUAUAUGUCAAGAAAAUGACGGUAGCAUAUGAAUAAGCACCGGCUAACUCCGUGCCAGCAGCCGCGGUAAUACGGAGGGUGCAAGCGUUACUCGGAAUCACUGGGCGUAAAGGACGCGUAGGCGGGUUGGAAAGUCAGGUGUGAAAUCCUACAGAUUAACUGUAGAACUGCACUUGAAACUUCUAAUCUAGAGUAUGGGAGGGGGAGAUGGAAUUAGUGGUGUAGGGGUAAAAUCCGUAGAUAUCACUAGGAAUACCUAAAGCGAAGGCGAUCUCCUGGAACAUUACUGACGCUAAGGCGUGAAAGCGUGGGGAGCAAACAGGAUUAGAUACCCGAGUAGUC
rnacentral:rRNA from 1 species